AUGUUUUUUGUGACGCUCACUUCCUGCUACUUACGAUUUGCAACGUGGAAGUCACGCAUCGUCGAAGCAAGGCUCCUAAUUAUGAGGGUGUGCGGAGAUGCUAGCAGGUGGAGGAAAUUCCUUUGAUUAGCGCCCUUGGAGAGCGGAUUGAGUUUUCACGGUGUUCAAGAUGUUCACGACGUCAUGGUGCUCGUCGAGAGAAACGAAAUAAAUCAACACCCGUUUGAAACUCUCUGCGUCUUGAUCAAUCAAUCCGAGGGGCCGCUACACCAACCGCCGUCUAAAGUGCUCAGCAACCCCCCCAAGAUAUCACAGCCCUAUCAGCGCGGAAGGCCUCGGGUACCAGAGCCAAAUGAGAUUUGCAGGCGAGACCCGUGUGCUCUCCUCCCCCCUCGGAUGCCGCCGGCUGCAUGCAGGUUUUGGGCCAACUGAUAUUUUCCAGCGCGGCUGCGAGUUUGAAGGCAGAAAAAUGAUUUAACUCACUAAAACAACAGCAGGACGCACGGCGGACUUCAAGUCCCAGAGAACCCGAGAGGACGCGUGUCUCUCUGCGUCUGCCAGAGAAGAUCCAUCAGAGCCCGAAGCUGUGAUUCCAAUUCAACCAGCGUCUCCGCGGACAACUCUGCUUUCGUCACGCUAACAAUGUCAUAAUCUUACUGCGUUUCAGCAUAAAAGAAGCUCGCGACACCUUUUUUCCUGACACAUGCAAUGGGGGGCUCUUCUGGAUCUAACCUGC
ensembl:lncRNA